AAUCAAGAAAGACGUGAAGAGUAUAUCAAACGGGGAAAAGAAAAGAUAGUGGAGUAAAGUGCAAAAUUACGAUAUUUUGCACCGAGUGACUUCCAACAACUCGGAAAUUGGAACGAAGUCAGACAAUCAUCUACACUAUCCUUCACAUUUGGGGUAUUUUACUACUAGUGUUCCGAAAUUUUAUGGCAUGUAUAGACAAUUUAUGUAAUGUGGGAUCAUCAUGUAAAUAUAUGUUAUGGUUCCCUUUUAAAUGUAGUGUUUAUUAAUAGUUAAACUAUAUGUGUGUUUAUACAAAUGAAA